rnacentral:rRNA from 1 species
UACGAAGGGGGCUAGCGUUGCUCGGAAUUACUGGGCGUAAAGGGAGCGUAGGCGGACAUUUAAGUCAGGGGUGAAAUCCCAGAGCUCAACUCUGGAACUGCCUUUGAUACUGGGUGUCUUGAGUAUGAUAGAGGUAUGUGGAACUCCGAGUGUAGAGGUGAAAUUCGUAGAUAUUCGGAAGAACACCAGUGGCGAAGGCGACAUACUGGAUCAUUGACUGACGCUGAGGCUCGAAAGCGUGGGGAGCAAACAGG